rnacentral:rRNA from 1 species
UAUCUUCGGAUAGAGAGACCGGCGCACGGGUGCGUAACGCGUAUGCAAUCUACCUUUUACAGAGGGAUAGCCCAGAGAAAUUUGGAUUAAUACCUCAUAGUAUAAUGACUCGGCAUCGAGAUAUUAUUAAAGUCACAACGGUAAAAGAUGAGCAUGCGUCCCAUUAGCUAGUUGGUAAGGUAACGGCUUACCAAGGCUACGAUGGGUAGGGGUCCUGAGAGGGAGAUCCCCCACACUGGUACUGAGACACGGACCAGACUCCUACGGGAGGCAGCAGUGAGGAAUAUUGGACAAUGGGCGCAAGCCUGAUCCAGCCAUGCCGCGUGCAGGAUGACGGUCCUAUGGAUUGUAAACUGCUUUUAUACGAGAAGAAACACUCCUUCGUGAAGGAGCUUGACGGUAUCGUAAGAAUAAGGAUCGGCUAACUCCGUGCCAGCAGCCGCGGUAAUACGGAGGAUCCAAGCGUUAUCCGGAAUCAUUGGGUUUAAAGGGUCCGUAGGCGGUUUAAUAAGUCAGUGGUGAAAGCCCAUCGCUCAACGGUGGAACGGCCAUUGAUACUGUUAAACUUGAAUUAUUAGGAAGUAACUAGAAUAUGUAGUGUAGCGGUGAAAUGCUUAGAGAUUACAUGGAAUACCAAUUGCGAAGGCAGGUUACUACUAAUGGAUUGACGCUGAUGGACGACAGCGUGGGUAGCGAACAGGAUUAGAUACCCUGGUAGUCCACGCCGUANACGAUGGAUACUAGCUGUUGGAAGCAAUUUCAGUGGCUAAGCGAAAGUGAUAAGUAUCCCACCUGGGGAGUACGUUUCGCAGAAUGAAACUCAAAGGAAUUGACGGGGGCC